rnacentral:tRNA from 1 species
UGCUAUCAUAGUUUAACGGUAAAAUGUCUGGCAACCAACCAGAGGACACAGGUUCGACUCCUGUUGAUAGCAA